rnacentral:rRNA from 1 species
AUUGAACGCUGGCGGUAUGCUUAACACAUGCAAGUCGAACGGUAACAGGUCUUCGGACGCUGACGAGUGGCGGACGGGUGAGUAACGCGUAGGAAUCUGCCUAUUAGUGGGGGACAACGUGUGGAAACGCACGCUAAUACCGCAUACGCCCUACGGGGGAAAGGAGGGGACCUUCGGGCCUUUCGCUAAUAGAUGAGCCUGCGUUAGAUUAGCUAGUUGGUGGGGUAAAGGCCUACCAAGGCGACGAUCUAUAGCUGUUCUGAGAGGAAGAUGAGCCACACUGGACUGAGACCCGGCCCAGACUCCUACGGGAGGCAUCAGUGCGGAAUAUUGGACAAUGGGCGCAAGCCUGAUCCAGCAAUACCGCGUGUGUGAAGAAGGCCCUAGGGUUGUAAAGCACUUUCAAUGGGGAGGAAAAAGAGUAAGCUAAUACCUUGCUUAUUGACAUUACCCAUACAAGAAGCACCGGCUAACUCCGUGCCAGCCGCCGCGGUAAAAC